rnacentral:rRNA from 1 species
UGGUGGAGUGAUUUGUCUGGUUAAUUCCGAUAACGAACGAGACCUUAACCUGCUAAAUAGUUGCAUCAACUCUGGUUGAUGUCAACUUCUUAGAGGGACUAUGGAUGUUUAAUUCAUGGAAGUUUGAGGCAAUAACA